rnacentral:rRNA from 1 species
AUACGGAGGGUGCAAGCGUUAAUCGGAAUUACUGGGCGUAAAGCGCGCGUAGGCGGAUAUUUAAGUCCCAUGUGAAAGCCCUGGGCUCAACCUGGGAACUGCAUGGGAUACUGGGUAUCUAGAAUACAGUAGAGGGUAGUGGAAUUUCAGGUGUAGCGGUGAAAUGCGUAGAGAUCUGAAGGAACAUCAGUGGCGAAGGCGACUACCUGGACUGAUAUUGACGCUGAGGUGCGAAAGCGUGGGGAGCAAACGGGAUUAGAAACCCUGGUAGUCC